UACGUAAGUGGCGAGCGUUAUCCGGAAUUACUGGGCGUAAAGCGUUCGUAGGCGGUGCAGUAAGUUGGGUUUGAAAGCCCGGGGCUCAACUCCGGACCCGGAUCCAAAACUACUGUACUGGAGCGUAUCAGGGGGCAGCGGAAUUCCCGGUGUAGUGGUGAAAUGCGUAGAUAUCGGGAGGAACACCAGUGGCGAAGGCGACUACCUGGCCUGUUUCUUGACGCUGAGGCGCGAAAGCUAGGGGAGCAAACGGG
rnacentral:rRNA from 1 species